CCAAGAUCCUGUUCCACUUCCUGUAGCGGAUUCCGUGCGGCUCCACCUCCCCCUGCGACAGGUGCUGCACGAUCCCACUACUCUCUGACAGGCUGUGUCAACAGCUAUGAUGCUGCUCCGCUCCCUGCGGCAGGUGCUGCACGAUCCCACUACUCGCUGACAACUAGCGGCAAUGGACGCCUCUCCACUACCUGCAACAGGCCCUAUGUGGUGGGCUAUGAUGAUGGCCACGUGUCUGCUCCAUUAUCUUUCGCAAUCAAUUCCCCUGACUAUGGGCGGCUCACUGCCAGGCGGUUACAAACGUCGCUAUCAGUCUGUUGCCUCCCCCGCCUAUAAAAGGGGACCCAGAUACGUUAUUCUUUAAGCUCUUUUGCCUUAUCCCAAAACUCUGCUAAAUUCUCCGUUCGAGCACUCCAUUCUUGUUGAGGCAGAGAACUGACUUGAGCGUCGGAGGGUCUUGCCGGAGCAACCCCACCUCCGGUUUAGACUUCCUUUGCAGGUCCCGGUGGCGACCGCGGCUUCCCCAACUCCAGCUUCUCC
rnacentral:lncRNA from 1 species